rnacentral:rRNA from 2 species
GUGACCUCAAAUCAGGUAGGACUACCCGCUGAACUUAAGCAUAUCAAUAAGCGGAGGAAAAGAAACUAACAAGGAUUCCCCUAGUAACUGCGAGUGAAGCGGGAAAAGCUCAAAUUUAAAAUCUGUCAGUCUUUGGCUGUCCGAGUUGUAAUCUAGAGAAGUGUUAUCCGCGCUGGACCGUGUACAAGUCUCCUGGAAUGGAGCGUCAUAGAGGGUGAGAAUCCCGUCUUUGACACGGACUGCCAGGGCUUUGUGAUACGCUCUCAAAGAGUCGAGUUGUUUGGGAAUGCAGCUCAAAAUGGGUGGUAAAUUCCAUCUAAAGCUAAAUAUUGGCGAGAGACCGAUAGCGAACAAGUACCGUGAGGGAAAGAUGAAAAGAACUUUGGAAAGAGAGUUAAACAGUACGUGAAAUUGCUGAAAGGGAAACGCUUGAAGUCAGUCGCGUUGUCCAGGGAUCAGCCUUGCUUUUGCUUGGUGUACUUUCUGGUUGACGGGUCAGCAUCAAUUUUGACUGUUGGAAAAAGGUCGGGGGAAUGUGGCAUCUUCGGAUGUGUUAUAGCCCUUGGUUGCAUACAAUGGUUGGGAUUGAGGAACUCAGCACGCCGCAAGGCCGGGUAACUAUUACCACGUACGUGCUAG